rfam:Nicotiana attenuata strain TT chromosome 7, whole genome shotgun sequence.
AAGAAAUUCUUCCUUUUAAAAUUUUUCUUGUAGGGUUUUUGAAUCUGAAAAAUCCCCA